rnacentral:rRNA from 1 species
CCCCGGCGCCACGAGUGGCAAUCUUAUAUUGGGCCUAAAGCAUUCGUAGCCGGUUUGAAAAAUCCUUUGUGAAAUUGUUGAACUCAAUACAACAGCAUGCAGGGGACACUUUCAGACUAGAGACUGGGAGGAGUUGGGGGUAUGCCUUGGGGAACGGUUAAAUGUGAUAAUCCAAGGUAGACCACCUGUGGCGAAGGCGCCCAACUAGAACAGUUUUGACGGUGAGGGAUGAAAGCUAGGGGAGCGAUCC